CAGCACCCCGAGUGGUCGGGACGAUUAUUGGGCCCAAAGCAUCCGUAGCCGGUUCUACAAGUCUUCCGUUAAAUCCACCUGCUUAACAGAUGGGCCGCGGAGGAUACUAUAAGACUAGGAGGCAGGAGAGGCAAGCGGUACUCAGUGGGUAGGGGUAAAAUCCGUUGAUCCAUUGAAGACCACCAGUGGCGAAGGCGGCUUGCCAGAAUGCGCUCGACGGUGAGGGAUGAAAGCUGGGGGAGCAAACCGGAUUAGAUACCCGAGUAGUCC
rnacentral:rRNA from 1 species